AGCGAAUGGAUUAAGAGCUUGCUCUUAUGAAGUUAGCGGCGGACGGGUGAGUAACACGUGGGUAACCUGCCCAUAAGACUGGGAUAACUCCGGGAAACCGGGGCUAAUACCGGAUAACAUUUUGAACCGCAUGGUUCGAAAUUGAAAGGCGGCUUCGGCUGUCACUUAUGGAUGGACCCGCGUCGCAUUAGCUAGUUGGUGAGGUAACGGCUCACCAAGGCAACGAUGCGUAGCCGACCUGAGAGGGUGAUCGGCCACACUGGGACUGAGACACGGCCCAGACUCCUACGGGAGGCAGCAGUAGGGAAUCUUCCGCAAUGGACGAAAGUCUGACGGAGCAACGCCGCGUGAGUGAUGAAGGCUUUCGGGUCGUAAAACUCUGUUGUUAGGGAAGAACAAGUGCUAGUUGAAUAAGCUGGCACCUUGACGGUACCUAACCAGAAAGCCACGGCUAACUACGUGCCAGCAGCCGCGGUAAUACGUAGGUGGCAAGCGUUAUCCGGAAUUAUUGGGCGUAAAGCGCGCGCAGGUGGUUUCUUAAGUCUGAUGUGAAAGCCCACGGCUCAACCGUGGAGGGUCAUUGGAAACUGGGAGACUUGAGUGCAGAAGAGGAAAGUGGAAUUCCAUGUGUAGCGGUGAAAUGCGUAGAGAUAUGGAGGACACCAGUGGCGAGGCGACUUUCUGGUCUGUAACUGACACUGAGGCGCGAAAGCGUGGGGAGCAACAGGAUUAGAUACCCUGGUAGUUCCACGCCGUAAACGAUGAUGCUA
rnacentral:rRNA from 1 species